AGGAUCAUUACCGAAUUGUCAACAAGAGUUGUUGCUGGUCUUCAAAAUGAGGGCAUGUGCACGCUCUGUUUACACAUCCACUCACACCUGUGCACUUUCCAUAGUUCUAUAGUUGGAGAGGCCCUGCCUCCCUUCCAUGGUCCUAUGUCUCUUCAUACACACACACACUCGGUGAUACAGUCUUGUGGAAUGUAUGCUGCGUUUGACGCAAUACAAUACAACUUUCAGCAACGGAUCUCUUGGCUCUCGCAUCGAUGAAGAACGCAGCGAAAUGCGAUAAGUAAUGUGAAUUGCAGAAUUCAGUGAAUCAUCGAAUCUUUGAACGCACCUUGCGCCCUUUGGCUAUUCUGAAGGGCAUGCCUGUUUGAGCAUCAUAAACAUCUCAACUCUCAUGGUUUUCCAUGAUGAGAUUGGACUUUGGGGGUCUUGUUGGCUUGUGUUCAGCUCCCCUAAAAUCUAUCAGCUUUCCAGUGUUUGGUGGCAUCACAGGUGUGAUAAAUAUCUACGCUCGUGGUUGUUUACCAGGUCUGUCUUCUCCUUGUGGAGGGGGCUUGCUGGAGCUCAUAGACGUCUCUCCUCGUGGAGACAGCUGUUUGAAGUUUGGUCUCAAAUCAGGUAGGAUUACCCGCUGAACUUAA
rnacentral:rRNA from 1 species